rnacentral:lncRNA from 1 species
GGCCAUUUUUUACCAUUCCAAUGUCUCUUGCACAACUUCACAUGGCGGUUCAUAUUAUGGUAUAGUUCCAUCAACAUUGGUCUGACCAAUUCUGAGAAAUAGUAUGGACAAAAUGUGUGGAAGAAUAAAAAUAAUAAUAAUAAUAAUAAAAAGAAAAAAAGAAACGAACAAUAACAAGAUGUCACCCCAACUCCGUUGAGGGUGCCAUAAUAAAAAAAAACUAGAAUUGCCAUUGCAAGCAAUAGCGGAUGUCACCCUGGUCCGCCAAUUGCCACUAAGUGGCAGCCAUUUCGAAACUUUUAACAUUGAAUUAACUUAAUUCACUUUACAAUUCAUCAUUUUGCGAAUUUUCCGAAAAUUUAAAGCAUUUUGAAAAUUUGGAUGUUUGUACUGUUUCUAUGGCAACGGCCGCCAUUUUGGAAAUUCCAAAGAUGGAUUUCAAGUCUUCGCAUGCCAAGUAACAUUUCCACAAAGUUUUAUUCAUUUUGGAACACUUUCCGAUUUUUCACAUUAUUUCUGUUUCCAUGACAACGACAGCCAUCUUGGAAAUGCCAACCCCCGAUUGCACAUCUGCACAUGGGGGUUAACAUUAUGGUACACUUCCAUCAUCAUUGGUCCAUGCAAUUCCGAGAAAUAGUCUGGACAAAAAAGUGUGGAAUAAUAAAGAAAAAAAAAAGAAUCGUACAAUAACAAUAUGUCACCCGACCUCCGUCAGGGUGACAUAAAAAGAAACGAACAAUAACAAUAUGUCACCCCAACUCCGUUGAGGGUGCCAUAACUAGAUUUGCCAUUGCAAGCAAUAGCGGAUGGCACCCUUUCCCCAUUGCCAGGCCAGCGGCAGCCAUUUAGAAAAUUUUUGCUGUUUCCAUGGCAACGGCGGCCAUUUUGAAAAUUCGAAACUCAAAAGUUAAGUCUACAUAAGCUAGGCAAAAUUUGUUAUAAGUUUCAUUAAAUUUAAAGCAUUUUGAAGUUUUUCAUAAUUUUGCUGUUCCCAUGGUAACGGCGGCCAUUUUGAAUAUUCCAAAGUCAAACCCCCGCUGCAAUUUUUUCCCUCCAUAAUCAUAUAUACCAUCAUAUACCAUUUAAUGUCUCUAGAAUAAAUUUAACAUUGAUGUUCUGGAAUGUUCUGUGAAAAUUCAAAGUUUUGACCUUUUUGCAUUGUUUCCAUGGUAACAACAGAUAUUUUGGAAAUUCCAACGCCAAAUUCCACAUCUUCCAAUGUUGCUCAUCGUUACUGUGAAGUUUCAUGAAGUUUGGAGCAUUUUGAUAUUUUUGAAAUUUUUGGUGUAGUUUCCAUGGCAACAUAGUAGUUCCAAUGAGUGCCAAAAUCAUCCAACACCUGUAUAUAGUGG